rnacentral:misc_RNA from 1 species
GAUGAAGAACGUAGCGAAAUGCGAUAAGUAAUGUGAAUUGCAGAAUUCAGUGAAUCAUCGAAUCUUUGAACGCACAUUGCGCCCGCCAGUAUUCUGGCGAGCAUGCCUGUUCGAGCGUCAUUUCAACCAUCAAGCCCCAGGCUUGUGUUGGAGCCCUGCGGCUGCCGCAGCCUCCCAAAACCAGUGGCGGGCUCACUAUCACACCGAGUGCAGUAGUUUACUCUUCGCUCAGGGCGUGUGGCGGGUGCUAGCCGUGAAACCCCCAACUUCUCAAGGUUGACCUCGGAUCAGGUAGGAAUACCCGCUGAACUUAAGCAUAUCAAUAAGCGGAGGA